UGUAUGUAUGCCAUAUACUGACACGGAUGGCUGUAGAUAUAGAUGCCACAAUAAUGUCCCACUGUGUGUGUGGUGUGUGUAUGUCCCACUGUGUGUGUGGUGUGUGUAUGUCCCACUGUGUGUGUGGAGUGUGUAUGUCCCACUGUGUGUGUGGUGUGUGUAUGUCCCACUGUGUGUGGUGUGUAUGUCCCACUGUGUGGAGGUGUGUGUCCCACUGUGUGUGUGUGGUGUGUGUCCCACUGUGUGUGUGGUGUGUGUGUCCCACUGUGUGUGUGGUGUGUGUGUGUCCCACUGUGUGUGUGGAGUGUGUGUGUCCCACUGUGUGUGUGGAGUGUGUGUGUCCCACUGUGUGUGUGGAGUGUGUGUGUCCCACUGUGUGUGUGGUGUGUGUGUGUCCCACUGUGUGUGUGGUGUGUGUAUGUCCCACUGUGUGUGUGGUGUGUGUAUGUAUGCCAUAUACUGACACAGAUGGCUGUAGAUAUAGAUGCCACAAUAAUGUCCCACUGUGUGUGUGGUGUGUGUAUGUAUACUAUACACUGACACGGAUGGCUGUAGAUACAGACGCCACAACGUCAUCCAUUCUUCCAUUGAUGAGCAUUGUUUCCACAUCUUGGAUAUUGUAGGUUUUAUUUUAUGGCAAAACGAAAAUUUGGCAACCUUAGGCCAAAGUCCCAUAAUUGUUUUGUUGAUUGGUUAAGCAGACUGGGACACAUGUUUUCCAACAGCCCCUGACCAAGGGCUGAAGAUAGACCCCAAGAUUUAUAACUCAAGCCAGGAGCAUCUCAUUGCCUCUCCCCGCCUUUCUCAGUAGGUUGGGCAGUUGAACACAUAACAGACCACUCUGCUGAAUUCCUUGAUGUUUCUGUGAGACAUUUGCCUGGACUUGCUGCUGCUGCUGCUGCGAAGUCGCUUCAGUCGUGUCCGACUGUGUGACCCCAGAGACGGCAGCCCACCAGGCUCCCCCGUCCCUGGGAUUCUCCAGGCAAGAGCACUGGAGUGGGCUGCCAUUUCCUUCUCCAAUGCAGGAAAGUGAAAAGUGAAAGAGAAGUCGUUCAGUCGUGUCCGACUCUUAGUGACCCCAUGGACGGCAGCCCACCAGGCUCCUCCAUCCAUGGGAUUUUCCAGGCAAGAGUACAGGAGUGGACUUGAGUUCUGCCUAAUCUUCAGCAAACAUUAGAUAGGGAAGUAAUGUUUAUCAAAUCAAUUUCCAGGCGGAGAAUCUACAUUCCCCCCAGCAUGCCUAGAAGUCUACAGAUAAGUCCACGACUGCUUAUUGUGACCUUUAAAAGACACUCGAAGAAAUAUUAAAUAUCUUCCCUUCCAGAUUCCACUGAGGCAUCAAAUGCCACAAUUAUAAAAAUCAUUCAGUCAGAAGCAAACACUUAAUUCUCAACAGCUAUUCUUGAGUAAUGCAUAGCAGUUGUCAGUCAUUCACAUCCUAGUAAAAGUGAGUUUAUCACGUGCUUUUUUUCUGCAAUGUGGGUUGAGAGUAACUUCAUAAUGACUGUAUCUAUCAUUUAUUGAACAAUCACCAUGAGUGGAAACUGCUUUUUAGAUUCUUAACAGUAUCAAAAUUCUUAUAAAGAAUUACAUUAGAGCAUUUUAGAUUAAAGAUUAAAUGAGAUCAUACAUAUAAAAUACUUAGAAAAUGCCUGAUAAUUUAGAGAAGUGUUAUGUCAGUAUUUAUUAUUAUAUUCUUUUUUGCUUGUUUGUUUUGGCGAUGCCACAUGGCUUGCAGGAUAUCCUAAUUCCCUGACCAGGGACUUAAUCCAGGUUCCAACAAUGAGAACACCAAGUCCUAACCACUGCACAACCAGGGGAUUCCUGGCAUUUAUUUUAAUCAUGUCAUUUAAUUCUCACUACUUUACGAGGUUGAUAUCACUAUCCCCAUUUUACAGAUGAUGAAAUUGAGGCUCCAGGAGGAAAUGUCACUUGCUCAAAAUCAGACAGCUAGUAAGUAGCAGUUUGAGAUUCAAAGUCAGGCAAUUCAACCCUGUGGUGGAAAAGGGCACAGAAGCAGAGGAGGGAACCUCAGUGAAACGAAAAUGCUGCCUAUUGUGGGGCUGGCUAUGAUUCCAAAUGCUUACCUGCACACUACUCAGGGUGUAGAGUGUUACACUACAACCUCGCGUACCCUGAGACACGUCUGAGGUCGUGGCCUUACGCUCAGAAAUGCUCCUGCUCUGGGCCAGAAGGCAAGCAUGAACGCAGACAGCCAUAAGACCAGGGCACCCAGGCGGCUUUCCAAGGACCUACCAGGAGGACUUGGAGCAGAACAGCCCAGACCCAAGGCUCCGAGCUGGAAUGUUGGGCUAUAGGGACCUCGGCUCCAAGUCAGAUGUCAGGACACUUGGCUGACAGAGAAUUCUUUUUCUAGUUUUUUAAUUUAUGAGAAAAGUCUCACCAAGAUAGCUUAAAAAUUACUUUACUAGACCUUCAUUGGUGGUGGUGGUUUAGUCGCUAAGUUGUGUCCAACUCUUGCGACCCCACGAACCCUGCCAGGCUCCUCCAUCCAUGGGGUUUCCCAGGAAAGAAUACUGGAGAGAGUUGCUGUUUCCUUCUCCAGGGGAUCUUCCUGACCCAGGGAUCAAACCUCAUCUCCCGCAUUGCAGGCAGAUUCUUUGCCACUGAGCCACCAGGGAAGCCCGUACAACAAGACCCGCAUUGCCCUAAUUGAAAAAGGUUGAAGUGCAGGAAGUCAGUCCAGUCAUCGUGGUUACAGCCUGCUCUGAGGUCCCACUCCAGCAGGGUGGGUGACGUGAGGAUCUAAGACCGCCCGCCGCUUCCCGCUGGGCCCCCCUUACCAGCCCCCACGGUCCUCACAAGAACGAGAGAGCCAACAUCGCUCCCGGGUCAGGUGCCCCAGUGACAAGGAAAAUAAAGCCUCCGGAUACACUCAGCACUGGGGUGCCGACGACUAGUCUCAGCUUAGUAGCUCCAAAAUCACACGGUUCACAUCCAGUCAAUAGGUGCUUUCUGAACAACCGCUACAGGCCAGGUCAUAAUCCCCUCGGAUACGAAAGUGAGUAAGCCCCAGCUGCCAACUUCAAAGGGCUGACAGUCAAGUAGGGCACAGACAAUGGCAUUACGUCACAGUUCCAGGAAAAAGUGCUCACCCAGGAAUGCCUGGUAUUGGUGGGGCUGCUCGAGCUGCCCAAAAUCACUGUCAAAAUCAGACAUCACUUAUUAACUCAGAAUGAGAAAUGUGCUUUUCAGCACGACUGACAGCCUUGAGCUGGCUGGUCGGUGUAUUCUCUCCCUGCAGAAAAGCUUCUAUCCAAAGCCAAUGUCUUUUCGGAAGGAUGAACCAUGAGCCUGGAAUUGGAGCAUAUGGAAGAAACUGGACCAGCCUCGCUAUGAAAUCAGACCAGCAACCAGAACGCUUGGCUCAGCUGGGACAUCACUCAGGCAGGUUACGUCUUCAGCUGACGGUACUGUAACCUGUCUGGUUGUUACAUUCCAGCCCCGAGGACACACCUGGCCCACCUCCUAGGUCUCCACAGCAUCACAGCCCAGUGGGUCACUUGUGACAUGAGGCUGACCUCUGCCAGUGAAGUUCAUUUUCCCCAGGGCCAGCCUGGGAGGCCACAGGCUCCUAGGUCCAUGAACUCAGGGUGUCUGCAUCGUCCCUCUAAACACGGGGGACCCCACUCCAUGGCAUGGUAUCUUCAUUUUGCUAAAAUUCAAGGGCGCCCCAAAUGGACUACAUCUUAAGAAAUGCUUGAGCAUUUGGCAACAGUCCUUGUUUUUUCCAACUCUGCUUCUGUAAAACCCCAGGGUUCAUCCAGUCAAAGGACCUGGUAGAAAUUCUCCUGGUUUCACAUGAAUCCCAGGAUGCAAACCAGCAGAGGGAACCAGUAGAGAUGGGCUGGGAAGCAGAAGCACUAGAAAUGAUGAAGGACCCUGGCCUCAAAGUCAGGAAACCUGGAUUUGAAUCCUAAAACAUCUUACUCAUUAUGUGAUCCUGACCAAUUAAGGCAUCCCUUUGGAGCUCCACAUUCCUCACCUACAAGACAAAGAUGACAAAGAUAUAUCUUAGAGUCAUUGUGGGUGUUAACAAUGGAAUAAUCAGUGCCUGGUAUAUAACAAAUGCUCAUAAAUGUUAGGCACUUCCCAGGCAGCGCAGCAGUAAAGAAUCUGCCUGCCAAGGCAGGAGACACAAGAGACGUA
rnacentral:lncRNA from 1 species